rnacentral:rRNA from 1 species
GACGAACGCUGGCGGCGUGCUUAACACAUGCAAGUCGAACGGAAAGGCCCUGCUUUUGUGGGGUGCCCGAGUGGCGAACGGGUGAGUAACACGUGAGUAACCUGCCCUUGACUUUGGGAUAACUUCAGGAAACUGGGGCUAAUACCGGAUAGGAGCUCCUGCUGCAUGGUGGGGGUUGGAAAGUUUCGGCGGUUGGGGAUGGACUCGCGGCUUAUCAGCUUGUUGGUGGGGUAGUGGCUUACCAAGGCUUUGACGGGUAGCCGGCCUGAGAGGGUGACCGGCCACAUUGGGACUGAGAUACGGCCCAGACUCCUACGGGAGGCAGCAGUGGGGAAUAUUGCACAAUGGGCGGAAGCCUGAUGCAGCAACGCCGCGUGCGGGAUGACGGCCUUCGGGUUGUAAACCGCUUUCGCCUGUGACGAAGCGUGAGUGACGGUAAUGGGUAAAGAAGCACCGGCUAACUACGUGCCAGCAGCCGCGGUGAUACGUAGGGUGCGAGCGUUGUCCGGAUUUAUUGGGCGUAAAGGGCUCGUAGGUGGUUGAUCGCGUCGGAAGUGUAAUCUUGGGGCUUAACCCUGAGCGUGCUUUCGAUACGGGUUGACUUGAGGAAGGUAGGGGAGAAUGGAAUUCCUGGUGGAGCGGUGGAAUGCGCAGAUAUCAGGAGGAACACCAGUGGCGAAGGCGGUUCUCUGGGCCUCUCCUGACGCUGAGGAGCGAAAGCGUGGGGAGCGAACAGGCUUAGAUACCCUGGUAGUCCACGCUGUAAACGGUGGGUACUAGGCGUGGGGUCCAUUCCACGGGUUCCGUGCCGUAGCUAACGCUUUAAGUACCCCGCCUGGGGAGUACGGCCGCAAGGCUAAAACUCAAAGGAAUUGACGGGGCCCCGCACAAGCGGCGGAGCAUGCGGAUUAAUUCGAUGCAACGCGUAGAACCUUACCUGGGUUUGACAUGGAUCGGGAGCGCUCAGAGAUGGGUGUGCCUCUUUUGGGGUCGGUUCACAGGUGGUGCAUGGCUGUCGUCAGCUCGUGUCGUGAGAUGUUGGGUUAAGUCCCGCAACGAGCGCAACCCUUGUUCACUGUUGCCAGCACGUUAUGGUGGGGACUCAGUGGAGACCGCCGGGGUCAACUCGGAGGAAGGUGGGGAUGACGUCAAGUCAUCAUGCCCCUUAUGUCCAGGGCUUCACGCAUGCUACAAUGGCUGGUACAGAGAGUGGCGAGCCUGUGAGGGUGAGCGAAUCUCGGAAAGCCGGUCUCAGUUCGGAUUGGGGUCUGCAACUCGACCUCAUGAAGUCGGAGUCGCUAGUAAUCGCAGAUCAGCAACGCUGCGGUGAAUACGUUCCCGGGGCU